rnacentral:rRNA from 1 species
CAGCAGUGGGGAAUAUUGCACAAUGGGGGAAACCCUGAUGCAGCGACGCCGCGUGGAGGAAGAAGGUCUUCGGAUUGUAAACUCCUGUUGUUGAGGAAGAUAAUGACGGUACUCAACAAGGAAGUGACGGCUAACUACGUGCCAGCAGCCGCGGUAAAACGUAGGUCACAAGCGUUGUCCGGAAUUACUGGGUGUAAAGGGAGCGCAGGCGGGAAGACAAGUUGGAAGUGAAAUCCAUGGGCUCAACCCAUGAACUGCUUUCAAAACUGUUUUUCUUGAGUAGUGCAGAGGUAGGCGGAAUUCCCGGUGUAGCGGUGGAAUGCGUAGAUAUCGGGAGGAACACCAGUGGCGAAGGCGGCCUACUGGGCACCAACUGACGCUGAGGCUCGAAAGUGUGGGUAGCAAACAGGAUUAGAUACCCUGGUAGUCCACACCGUAAACGAUGAUUACUAGGUGUUGGAGGAUUGACCCCUUCAGUGCCGCAGUUAACACAAUAAGUAAUCCACCUGGGGAGUACGACCGCAAGGUUGAAACUCAAAGGAAUUGACGGGGGCCCGCACAAGCAGUGGAGUAUGUGGUUUAAUUCGACGCAACGCGAAGAACCUUACCAAGUCUUGACAUCCUGCGACGGACAUAGAAAUAUGUUUUUCCUUCGGGACGCAGAGACAGGUGGUGCAUGGUUGUCGUCAGCUCGUGUCGUGAGAUGUUGGGUUAAGUCCCAUAACGAGCGCAACCCCUAUUGUUAGUUACCAUCAUUAAGUUGGGGACUCUAACGAUACUGCCGGUGACAAACCGGAGGAAGGUGGGGAUGACGUCAAAUCAUCAUGCCCUUUAUGACUUGGGCUACACACGUACUACAAUGGCGUUAAACAAAGAGAAGCAAGACCGCGAGGUGGAGCAAAACUCAGAAACAACGUCCCAGUUCGGACUGCAGGCUGCAACUCGCCUGCACGAAGUCGGAAUUGCUAGUAAUCGUGGAUCAGCAUGCCACGGUGAAUACGUUCCCGGGCCUUGUACACACCGCCCGUCACACCAUGAGAGCCGGGGGGACCCGAAGUCGGUAGUCUAACCGCAAGGAGGACGCCGCCGAAGGUAAAACUGGUGAUUGGGGUGAAGUCGUAACAAGGUAGCCGUAGGAGAACCUGCGGCUG